CAUACCAGCACUAAUGCACCGGA
rnacentral:snRNA from 1 species